rnacentral:rRNA from 1 species
AUUGAACGCUGGCGGCAGGCCUAACACAUGCAAGUCGAGCGGAUGAGAGGAGCUUGCUCCUUGAUUUAGCGGCGGACGGGUGAGUAAUGCCUAGGAAUCUGCCUAGUGGUGGGGGAUAACGUUCCGAAAGGAACGCUAAUACCGCAUACGUCCUACGGGAGAAAGCGGGGGAUCUUCGGACCUCGCGCCAUUAGAUGAGCCUAGGUCGGAUUAGCUAGUUGGUGAGGUAAAGGCUCACCAAGGCGACGAUCCGUAACUGGUCUGAGAGGAUGAUCAGUCACACUGGAACUGAGACACGGUCCAGACUCCUACGGGAGGCAGCAGUGGGGAAUAUUGGACAAUGGGCGAAAGCCUGAUCCAGCCAUGCCGCGUGCGUGAAGAAGGUCUUCGGAUUGUAAAGCACUUUAAGUUGGGAGGAAGGGUAUUCACCUAAUACGUGAGUAUUUUGACGUUACCGACAGAAUAAGCACCGGCUAACUUCGUGCCAGCAGCCGCCGCCGUAA